rnacentral:rRNA from 1 species
UACGUAGGGAGCAAGCGUUGUCCGGAAUCAUUGGGCGUAAAGCGCGCGUAGGUGGCUUCGUAAGUCCGUUGUGAAAGUCAAAGGCUCAACCUUUGAAAGCCGAUGGAUACUGUGGAGCUAGAGUACGGAAGAGGCGAGUGGAAUUCCUGGUGUAGCGGUGGAAUGCGCAGAUAUCAGGAGGAACACCGGUGGCGAAGGCGCUCUCUGGAACGCAACUGACGCUGAGACGCGAAAGCGUGGGGAGCAAACAGG